AAAUUAUAUAUCGAAAUAAAUAUGCAUCUGAAUGAAAUUGAGGCUGUGAUGGAACAGAAAGGGUUUGGGAGUGUGCAAUGUUACGUUAUGCUCACCUUAGGCCUUUUACAGAUGUUGACAAUAGAUGAAACAAUGGGAAUGGGUAUCAUCGCACCCUCUGCUGUGUGUGAUCUACGCACGAGUCUUGUACAGUUAUCGACAAUUACGGCGGCUGCCUUUUUGGGUAUUAUUUGUUCCUCAUAUUUCUGGGGCUACAUCACGGAUAACAUGGAUCGGCGUUGGAUUUUACUGCAUACAAUUUCAAUAAGUAAUAUAUGCUCCGUUAUUUCCAUGCUUAUGGUAUCUACAGUAUUUUCAUGUGCAGCGUUGCUGGUCCCAGUUUUGUAGCAGUCACUUACCUCAGUGAGUUUUGCAACAAGCCCAUUUUGGCACGUGCAGUCACCCAUAUGUACAUAUUUACCGGAUUUGCAAUGUUUUACUGCCCUUCCUUGGCCCCUUUUUUUCAUCCAGUUUUAUGGAUUUUGAAAUAGCUAUGUUGGACAUUACAUUACGCCCGUGGAGACUACUUGGGUGCAUAUUUAUGCUCCCUGGCGUAAUUGCUUUUAUUUUAUUGCUUCAUAUGCCUGAAAGUCCGAAAUUUCUAUUCAUGAUAGGUGACACUAAAAAGGGUUUGGUAGUAAUAGAUUGGAUAAGUAUUAAAAACACUGGUCGACGACUCAGUACAGAGCAGAUGGCUCUAAUGCUAAGAUUUCAAGAAUCCGCAGAAGUAAGUCGACAGAAGCGUGCCAAUAACCUUAUGCAGACAAUGCUUAACGAUGCAACGCCAUUGUUUCGCAAGCCCAACGAGCAGAGCUCGGCACCGGAAGGAAAGGCUGGGUGACAGGACCUGCGACCGGCCGCUUGGCCACCUGGCGGAAGGAAGACGACCGAUGCCCAGCCAGGGCCAAGCCGACGGGAGUCAAGGAUCCGGUAUAGAGUAAAAACGUCUCUGCGAGGCACUCGGAUGUCCCGCAAAAAAUAAAAUACUUUAAA
rnacentral:sRNA from 1 species